UACAGAGGUCCCGAGCGUUGUUCGGGUUCAUUGGGCGUAAAGGGUGCGUAGGCGGCUGGGUAAGUCUGAUGUGAAAUCCUGGGGCUCAACCCCAGAACUGCAUUGGAUACUGCCUUGCUAGAGUACUGGAGAGGAAACUGGAAUUUACGGUGUAGCAGUGAAAUGCGUAGAGAUCGUAAGGAAGACCAGUGGCGAAGGCGAGUUUCUGGACAGUAACUGACGCUGAGGCACGAAAGCCAGGGGAGCAAACGGG
rnacentral:rRNA from 1 species